UACGUAGGGGGCAAGCGUUGUCCGGAUUUAUUGGGCGUAAAGAGCUCGUAGGCGGCUCGGUAAGUCGGAUGUGAAAGCCCCGGGCUCAACCCGGGAAGUGCAUUCGAAACUGGCGGGCUUGAAUAUGGAAGAGGGUCGCGGAAUUCCCGGUGUAGAGGUGAAAUUCGUAGAUAUCGGGAGGAACACCAGUGGCGAAGGCGGCGACCUGGGCCAAUAUUGACGCUGAGGAGCGAAAGCGUGGGGAGCGAACAGG
rnacentral:rRNA from 1 species